UAUAAACUCACGACACUCUUCAAAUCACAAUCUUCUCCAUUCAUUCAAAAUCUAAGAAGAUGAGCGUAUAGAAAAUCGUGUGUUCUUCAGAAACUUCCUGCAAUUGCAGAUUGUUCUAUUCGACAAAAGGAGAAACGAGAGAGCUCGAAUUUCAAUUCCUCUCCUGUUGCUAGCAAGUUUUCUUCCUACCAAUUAAAGGUUGAGUGGUGACGAGCGCGGUGGGUGUUGAGCAUAAAAGUGAAGAAUGUCUAUCAAAUGUUCAAGAAUAUGUUGUGUCUUCAUACAUAACAGUAUUCUACUCUCGAAUGCUUCCGCUAAACGUUGUUUCA